CCGGCCAAGCCGCCGCGCGCUGCCAUUGGCUGGCGAGGACCGGGGCGGAGCCGCCUCAGCGGGGCCCCUCCUCCCGCGGCGUCUACACCGCUGGUGAGCGCCCAGCGCAGCCACUGGACGGCACCUCGCGGGCGAACAGCGCGAUGAGCCACAGCCUGGACGCGGCCCGGAGCUUCCUGGAGCGGCUGGAGGCGCAGGGCGGCUGGGAGGGGGAGGUCCUCUCCAGCGAGUUCAGCAGCAUCCUGGCCCGCUCAGCUGCCUGGAAGAGCAAGGGAGUGUGCUCUGCCAAAGCCGGCAGCCUGCGGGAGAACGUGAAGAAGAACCGCUACAAGGACGUGCUACCCUAUGACCACACGCGAGUGAUCCUCUCUCUGCUCCACGAGGAAGGACACGGCGACUACAUCAACGGCAACUUCAUCCGGGGCGGGGACGGAGGCCCGGCCUACAUCGCCACCCAAGGGCCGUUGCCUCACACCUUGCUGGACUUCUGGCGCUUGGUGUGGGAGUUCCGGGUCAAGGUGAUUCUGAUGGCGUGUCGCGAGACGGAAAAUGGGCGGAAGAAGUGUGAGCGCUACUGGGCCCAAGAGCAGCAGCCACUGCAAAUUGGGUUUUUCUGCAUCACCCUGACCAGAGAGGCACAGCUGAACACAGACGUCACACACAGAUCCCUCCAGGUCACAUUCCAGAAGGAAUCGCGCUGUGUGCACCAGUUGCAGUACUCCUCCUGGCCAGACCGCGGCGUCCCCAGCAGCUCUGACACUGUGCUCACCAUGGUGGAGGAAGCCCGGCGCCUUCAUGGGACCAGCCCUGGACCACUCUGUGUCCACUGCAGCGCGGGCUGCGGACGAACAGGGGUCCUGUGUGCCUUGGAUUACGUGAGGCAGCUGCUGCUGACCGAGACCCUCCCAGGGGACUUCAGCCUCUUCCAUUUGGUGUUGGAGUUGCGGAGGCAGCGGCAGUCGGUGGUGCAGACAGAGGUGCGCCCUGGGGACACGGGGCCGCCCCCCACCCCCGCAUCCCUCCUUGAUGGGCGCUCACUCCGACAGGAGCAGUACCGGUUCCUACACCGCACGGUGGCCCAGAUGUUCCGCUCAGCGCUGCAGACAGCCAGCACCGUGUAUCAGAACGUCAAGGAGAACCUUGCACCCGUCUGUGCCACUGAGGCCCUGUCCUCCUUGAGAGAGUCUCCAGCAUGGCUUCUAGACGCGUCCCACCAAGCAGGCAGGGUCCUCAGGAGCACCUCCGAGCCCGGGGCGCCGACCCUCACCAUGGCCGACACAUACGCGGUGGUGCAGAAGCGCGGGACCUCCUCGACUGCGGGCGCAGGUGCGGGUUCGGGCGCGCGGACAGGUGGCCCGGACGCGGAGAGGCUCUACAGCCACGUGACGCCGCGCGCCCUGCGGCCGGGAGCGCAAGCGGAGGACAACGCGCGGGGGGUGCUGCCUGCGCGCGGCUGCUCUUGGCGUUCUUUAGUUACACCCCCUGUCUAUGGGGCACACCCCCAAAACGUCUUCAGACUGAACCAGCUGGGUUCCUGGCUGUGAUGUCAGCUUGUUUGUGCGCUGCUGCUGACCAAAGCCCUGCAGGACCCGACGCGUAUGAAGAGGUGGCUGAUCCGGCUCAGACCGGUGGAAUGGGCUUCAAUCUGCGUGUUGGAAGGCCAAAAGGGCCGCGGGACCCUCCUGCCGAGUGGACCCGAG